GCCCUACCUAGUAUGUUGGUUAUGACACUCAGCUCGUAAUCGAGUGGCCUCGGGUUCGAAUCCCGAAUAAGGCA